GGUUUGCGUGAGGGAUAGCAGCGGGAUCCUUUAUUUUUUUUCUUUAAAAAAAUAAAGAUAAAGCGCAUAGCCCGACCCGCA
rnacentral:sRNA from 1 species